rnacentral:lncRNA from 1 species
UUGGAUAUAUGUGAGGCCCAUCGACUGACGUGAGAUUGUGGCUCCUCUACCUUAUGAGAUUAAUAACUUGGAUCCCUUGUUCACUUUUUUGUUCUUUUUUUAUUUUGGGAUGCACUCUUCGAGAAUUUUGAUGACUGUUUUUUUUUACAGCUUCAGCUGUUCCUUACUAGUAGUCGUCGUUGUUUGAGCUGACCUAUAUUAAUAUGCAUACUAGGUGAUUGCUGUAAGCUCUCAAGUUUGAAAGGGAUAUUGAAAUACAGGGGAUGAGUUUGAAUUGUGUGUUAUAUGGAAGGAAAGACUAAUGUUGGUUGUCUAUAUAAUUUUGUUG